rnacentral:rRNA from 1 species
GACGAACGCUGGCGGCGUGCUUAACACAUGCAAGUCGAACGGAAAGGCCCUGCUUGCAGGGUUCUCGAGUUGCGAACGGGUGGGUAACACGUGGGUGAUCUGCCCUCCUCUUCGGGUUAAGCCUGGGAGACUGGGUGUAAUACCUGCUAGGAGACAUUUUUAGUGUGAUGGUUGGAAAGUUUUUUCGGUGUAUGGUGAGCUCGCUGGCUAUCAGCUUGUUGGGGCGGUGAUGGGGUACCAAGGCGGCGUAGGGUGGCAGGCCUGUGUGGGUGACCGGCCACCUUGAGACUUAGAGAAGGCCCAGACACCGAAGGGAGGGAGCAGGGGGGAAGAUUGCAGAAGCGGCGCAAGCCUGAUGCAGAGAGGCUGCGGGUGGGAUGACGGCCUUCGGGUUGUAAACCCCUUUCGCAAGGGACGAAGCUUUUUGUGACGGUACCUAGAUAAGAAGCACCGGCUAACUACGUG